rnacentral:rRNA from 1 species
UACGGAGGGGACUAGCGUUGUUCGGAAUUACUGGGCGUAAAGCGCGCGUAGGCGGAUUUGUAAGUCAGGGGUGAAAUCCCGGGGCUCAACCUCGGAACUGCCUUUGAUACUGCAAAUCUCGAGUCCGGAAGAGGUGAGUGGAAUUCCUAGUGUAGAGGUGAAAUUCGUAGAUAUUAGGAAGAACACCAGUGGCGAAGGCGGCUCACUGGUCCGGUACUGACGCUGAGGUGCGAAAGCGUGGGGAGCAAACAGG